rnacentral:rRNA from 1 species
AACGAACGCUGGCGGCAUGCCUAACACAUGCAAGUCGAACGAGACCUUCGGGUCUAGUGGCGCACGGGUGCGUAACGCGUGGGAACCUGCCCUUAGGUUCGGAAUAACUCCCCGAAAGGGGUGCUAAUACCGGAUAAUGUCUUCGGACCAAAGAUUUAUCGCCUUUGGAUGGGCCCGCGUUGGAUUAGCUAGUUGGUAGGGUAAAAGCCUACCAAGGCGACGAUCCAUAGCUGGUCUGAGAGGAUGAUCAGCCACACUGGGACCGAGACACGGCCCAGACCCCUACGGGAGGCAGCAGUGGGGAAUAUUGGACAAUGGGCGAAAGCCUGAUCCAGCAAUGCUGCGUGAGUGAUGAAGGCCUUAGGGUUGUAAAGCUCUUUUACCCGGGAUGAUAAUGACAGUACCGGGAGAAUAAGCUCCGGCUAACUCCGUG